rnacentral:rRNA from 1 species
AGUUGCCAUCAUUAGUGGUGGACACUCGUAAGGAGACUGCCGGUGGUCAAACCGGAGGAAGUGGGGAUGACGUCAAGUCCUCAUGGCCCUUAUGACCAGGGCUACACACGUGCUACAAUGGCCGGUACAAAGAGUUGCGAUACCGCGAGGUGGAGCUAAUCUCAUAAAGCCGGUCUCAGUUCGGAUUGGAGUCUGCAACUCGACUCCAUGAAGUUGGAAUCGCUAGUAAUCGCGGAUCAGCAUGCCGCGGUGAAUACGUUCCCGGGCCUU